rnacentral:rRNA from 1 species
UACGGGGGGUGCGAGCGUUGUCCGGAUUCACUGGGCGUAAAGGGCGCGUAGGCGGCCCGGUCAGUCGGCGCUCUAAGUGCGGGGCUCAACCCCGUGAUGGCGCCGGGACGGCCGGGCUGGGGCGCGGCAGAGGGAGACGGAAUGCCGGGUGUAGUGGUGAAAUGCGUAGAGAUCCGGCGGAACACCGGUGGCGAAGGCGGUCUCCUGGGCCGAGGGCCGACGCUGAGGCGCGAGAGCGUGGGGAGCGAACCGG